AUGGGACGGGGCUGUUCCCGGGGAGGCUGUGAUGGGUUGACAGGUGCGUGACAGUGGGAGCUGCUCUCGGCACAAGCAUGUACGGCAAAGGCAAGAGUAACAGCAGCGCCGUCCCGUCCGACAGCCAGGCCCGGGAGAAUGUAUUUUGGGAUCUCUACUGUGCAGCUCCAGAGAGACGUGAAACAUGUGAACACUCAAGUGAAGCAAAAGCCUUCCAUGAUUACAGUGCUGCAGCAGCUCCCAGUCCAGUGCUAGGAAACAUUCCCCCAGGAGAUGGCAUGCCAGUAGGUCCUGUACCACCAGGGUUCUUUCAGCCUUUUAUGUCACCUCGGUACCCUGGAGGUCCAAGGCCCCCACUGAGGAUACCUAAUCAGGCACUUGGAGGUGUCCCAGGAAGUCAGCCAUUACUCCCCAGUGGAAUGGAUCCAACUCGACAACAAGGACAUCCAAAUAUGGGUGGGCCAAUGCAGAGAAUGACUCCUCCAAGAGGAAUGGUGCCCUUAGGACCACAGAACUAUGGAGGUGCAAUGAGACCCCCACUGAAUGCUUUAGGUGGCCCUGGAAUGCCUGGAAUGAACAUG
rnacentral:sRNA from 1 species